UGUCAAUUCAAAGACAGGGUCACCAAAACCAUAAAACCAGCUAAAAUGAUGCACUAACCUUUUACAAUCUCCAUCAGAUUGUAAAAGUUCAGCUUAGUUCAUGUUUAAUAUUUCACCUCAGACAUCACAAGACCUGAAGCCUUCCGGCCAUUUACUGUAAACAGCUUGAGGUCAAGGACUGUUUGUAAAGAUCCCAUACCACAGAUGAUAGAUAAGCGUUUGAGCUCUGGGGUUUUUCAUAACAGAAACAGUUACGAUGUCAACCAGCGAUUUUUUUAAAACUUUUCCUGUUGAAAAACAAUGUCCCAAGUAUAAAUACAGUAAAGUGUACAUACACCAAAGGGUAAAACAUAUGUUUUGAGCAAAAUAGUGUUUUCUAGACACAACUGCUCAAUAGUUGGCAUGAUGGUCAAAUGUGAUGUUAUUAGCCUCCCCCUUGCUUGAGGAACAAUAGAGGAGCAAUAGAGAACAAAAGAGGAAAGGCCACUUAUCGAGAUGUGCCUUUUGUUAAGUAAAUCGUGUGUUAAAUGAGGUUAAAGGGAGACUUGGAGGAGGACUUAACAUGAGCAUGUUUUGGUCAGUUGGUGCAUUGAUGAACACAGUGACAUGGUGACGUAUAUCAGUAUAAAUACAGCCAAAUGUAAGUGUUUGACUUGUGUGGCUGAGUAAGUUAAUUACUGAGUGGCAAUGUUUGCUACAGCUAAAGUGUAUGGGUUUAUAAUGACAGAACUACGUGAGUUUGCAUUUUGAAUUUCGUGGUUGCAAGUACGAUUUGCAAAUGUGUAAUUUAAUUUCUCAAGCUUGUAUCAUGUCUCAAACUUGUAACCUAACAUUUGAAUACGUUCAAUAAGAUUUGCAAACAUAAUUUAUUUUCAGAAUGAUUACAAAUCCUUCUUACGAAUAUUAAUAUUCUGCUGUGAAUAAAAAAAUACACUUGCAGAUUUUGAAUCUGAGCGUUCUGGGUCACUGUUGUCACGUUACCAAGAUAUUUGUACAUUUGUAGAACGUUCUGUGUAGCUCCCUCCAGUAACCACGAGCACAACUGUUCCUUGAUUUUAACUGGCGGUUUUAUUCUGUAGUUGUAGUCAGAAUUAUCACCUUCCGUGAGAACUAUAAAGUAAAUCAAAAUACAGUUAAGCACACUCUUACAACUUUCUUGUCUUAUGAGCGACUUAUUAGCUUGAUAUAACUCUGAAGUGCUUACAUGCAUAAAACAGUUUAGCCGGAGAUAACAGUAUCAGAUUAAACACAUUAAUAACAUUAAAAUACCUAAUUGGUUUCUUAUUACAGAAGGGAGGAAAUGAAAAACUUCACACUUCUUAUUCUUGGCAUGAAUUCACGCUUCAUCCAUAAUUAUUAUAACGUUACCAUCCUAACAUAUACGCUUCAACCUUGACGAACUACACCCGAAGACACGAAAAACAUAGCUAACAGCGUGGGAUUGCCUUCACUCCAAAAAUGUGUUGCUACGAUAAUAAUCCCCGUUACAACAGUUCUUAGCCACGUAGUUCCGCUUGUUUUACCAUUACCCCCGCAUAGCGAACACUUAAACAAUUCAAACAAAAAACAACGACAUAGACUGACAGGUUAAUUGUCAGUUACAAAAAAAGAGAGUACUAUUCGAUUUGCGCAGCUCUUAAUUGUCAGUUACAAAAAAAAGAGAGUACUAUUCGAUUUGCGCAGCUCUGGGGGCAGGAUCUUUUACUCCUGACCAAUCAGUUCCCUUUACCAAAACCACAGCCGCCUAACCAUUGGCUGGACUGUUCCAUCAAUCAAAUAUCAGGAAGUAGCUACCCACAUGAAUGAGGAUGAAGUAAAUCAAACCACAACGAUCUACUUGAAGGUGGCGUGGGAGUAAGAUCACUAGAAAGCAGCAUACUACCAGGCCACCACAGGACCCUUGAGGUAUUAGUCAAUGCUUCUGAACUCAUUGCAUUUUGACUAUGCUAGUACUUCCUGGUUUGGGGGCUUAUCUAAACUUAUGAAGGGGAAGCUCCAGAUAGCCCAGAAUAAGCUGAUCAGGGUAGUAUUGAAGGUGAGUCCACACACUCACAUAGGCAGGAGCUGCUUUCAGGAACUAAACUGGCUGCCUGUUGAGGCUAGGGUGUCCCAGAUUAGACUAGGUUUGGUUUACAGGAGUAUUUAUGGUCCUGCGCCCAGAUGUCUAAGUGAUUACUUUCCUCGUGUUAGGGAUGCACACAAUCACAGCACCAGAUCAGGUGUUGCUGAUGUGUGCUUAUACAGGUUCAGGAGUAAUGCUGGGAAAGGUACUUUCUUGUAUACUGGAGCCUCUGAAUGGAAUGAGCUGCCUCUGCCUAUAAAACAACGUCCUCACUGGACAGCUUUAAAAAUAAAGUAAAAAUAUGUUUGGUGUCUUCUGUGCCCAUAUGAAUAACCUCUAUGAUGUAACUGGAAUGAGAUAGAUGUUGUUCUUCUUCUAUGUUUCUGUUUUAUUAUUUCACUGCCAUACUGUGUUUGAUCUUGUCUAGCCAUCUUGUCUCAAGAGGACCACAAUGGAAAUAAGUCCCAGACUUUGUGUGUUAUCCUCUGAUUUUAUUAAUGUGCAUGUAUGGCCUUUAAGUUUUGUGUGCUUGUUUUUUUUAAAUGGUCGAAUUAAUAAACUAAACUGCUUUGAAUUGCCCAUUUUUAUUAAAGGCACUAACAAAAUGGUUUGUUCAGAAACGUGCAGUAAAUGCUAACACGACUUUGGUGAUGAAAGUUCCAUAAUGUAUUUAUUGUCAUCUCCCUAUCAGGCCUCAGCAUGCUGUGACAAGGGCCCGGAUGGUGACAUAUGCUUCAAGCUGCCUGACUGAAUACAGGGGCCUUUAGCAAUACCUUCCCUUUGAUUACAGCCUCUCCUUAUGUCUCGUAGCCAUUUAACAUGUACUGUAUGUAACCACUCAAAUUCUUACAACUUCUACGAACACAAGAACAGACUUGUAUUCACUUGCCUCUGGCUGAGUUUACAGGCAGCCCAAUCCUGAUAUUGUUCCACUAAUUGGUCUUUUGACCAAUCCCAGAUCUUUUCACAUCAGAUCUUUUUCAGUGCUGAUCUGAUUGGUCAAAAGACCAGUUGGUGAAAAAAAAAAAAUCUGACUUGGGCUGCCUAUCUAAACACAGCCUAUUUGUCCUAUACUUCAGGCUUGUCUGGGAUAUAUAUUUUAGUUGGCACACCUGUGUGAUCUUUUAUACAUGAAGAAUUUAUUCACCCUGGAUAUGAGACUUGCAUUGAUUUUUAGACCUCUUUGAAUCAGAAGCGCCAAGUGUUAUCUUGAUGGAGAAAGUCUGCAUGUUGUCAGAUGUUUAAGUUACCAUAGUAGUUAGUAAAAAUGAGACCAGGCUAAAACAGUUAUGGUUUUGUAACCUAUUAAAAAAUAAACAUGAGUAGUUUUAUACAAAACUUUAUUGCAUUUGGUGAACAUCCCCUUUAAUUUGUCCCUCUUAAAGCCUUGAUGUUUGCAUCCUUCCUCAGGGACCUGUCUGCUGAUAGCUGACUUGGUGGCAGGUGUUUUGAUGUGCUGCUCUAGAGUUCCAUGGCCCAGCAGACUCCCCUGGGGACAGGGGGAUGGACACGUUCGUUUUGAUAAAAGUCUGGAAUACUUUUAGAGGGAGGAGAGGGCAUGAGUUGGAUGCCUUUGAGGGGCCAGGAGCUGAUCUAUGCUGCUAUGCCCAUCAAUGGGGCUCUGGAAAAGACCUCACCUCUUGCCUGCUCACCAACGGUCAUCAAUAGAGAGAACAGAAAUAGGUAGGUUUAGUCUGACCUAUUAAAACUUCCACAUAGUACCCGUUUGUGUGUCAGAUAUUACCUAUCCUAACUGCCAUUGGUAAUAGAACAGUGACUAUGUAUGUGUUCACAUAAAUAUGUAUGGAGCCAGCACAUGGAGACUUGCAAGAUGUGAAGUCCAGACUGACAGACGGGCUUGAUACGGAUGUCUCUGUAGGGAGAAAGACCUGGCACCUGGCAUUAACAUUUUACUAGACAACUUUUUUACUUAUUUUAUUAAAUGGUAUCAGACAAUAUGCGGAGGGAGGAACCCUGUGUAUUCUGAACCAGGAUCAGGGAUCUCCUGUUGUGAACGGGACACCACACAGGAAGGUAUGGCUACUCGGACAUGUUUGCUAAGGUAGCCCCAAUGCCCCCAGACAAAAUGCAGAUGGGCACAAUAUUCGUAUCGGCUGGGAACGACAAUAAAAGGUUCAAUGUUAUAUCAGCAGAACUGUGCUUCUAUGGUAUUAUGUAAAGUGUUGUUUAUUCUACAUGGACCUGUGUAAUGAAAAUGUUAUGAUUAAAGGUUUGACUAAAUGAUUUCACCCUGAAAA